rnacentral:rRNA from 1 species
AUUGAACGCUGGCGGCAGGCUUAACACAUGCAAGUCGAGCGAGCGGCGGACGGGUGAGUAAUGUCUGGGAAACUGCCUGAUGGAGGGGGUUCACUACUGGAAACGGUAGCUAAUACCGCAUACAAUCAGUUGUGCCCAUAUGGGAUUAGCUCGUGGGUGUGGUAAUGGCUCACCUAGGCGACGCGCCCUAGCUGGUCUGAGAGGCUGACAACCCAAACUGGAACGGGAGCACGGGCCAGAAUCCUACGGGUGAGAGCAGGGGGGAAUAUCGCACAAUGGGCGCAAGGCUGAUGCAGCCAUGCCGCGUGUGUGAAGAAGGCCUUCGGGUUGUGAAGCACUUUAGGCGAGGAGGCGUUACUCGAAGAAGAAGCACCGGCUAACUCCGUGCCAGCAGCCGCGGUAAUUC